rnacentral:misc_RNA from 1 species
UCCGGCUUAUCACCGGCAGUCCCCCUAGAGUGCCCAACUAAAUGAUGGCAACUAAGGACAAGGGUUGCGCUCGUUACAGGACUUAACCCAACAUCUCACGACACGAGCUGACGACAGCCAUGCAGCACCUGUCUUGGGGCUCCCGAAGGCACCCCCACAUCUCUGCGGGGUUCCCCAGAUGUCAAGGGCAGGUAAGGUUCUUCGCGUUGCAUCGAAUUAAACCACAUGCUCCACCGCUUGUGCGGGCCCCCGUCAAUUCCUUUGAGUUUCAGCCUUGCGGCCGUACUCCCCAGGCGGGGCACUUCAUGCGUUUGCGCCGGCACCCAGGGGGUCGCUCCCCCAAGCACCUAGUGCCCAUCGUUUACGGCGUGGACUAC